rnacentral:rRNA from 1 species
UACGAAGGGGGGCUAGCGUUGCUCGGAAUUACUGGGCGUAAAGCGCGUGUAGGCGGCUUUGCAAGUCGGGGUGUGAAAGCCCUCAGCUCAACUGAGGAAGUGCGCCCCGAAACUGCAGAGCUUGAGUGCCGGAGAGGGUGGCGGAAUUCCCCAAGUAGAGGUGAAAUUCGUAGAUAUGGGGAGGAACACCGGUGGCGAAGGCGGCCACCUGGACGGUAACUGACGCUGAGACGCGAAAGCGUGGGGAGCAAACAGG